AGCCAGCAAAAUUAAAUACUACUGAAAAAUUUCUUGGCAAAUUUCAUAACUUCCCAGCAGAUGGCAUGAGCAUUUCCCUAAAAAGCAAGGGUCCCAGCAACACAGAUCCUGUUAUAUUAUCUGAGGUAACAAAAAUAACAUAUAUUGGGACCAAAUAUGGUCCUUGUUACGUGUAUUUAUCAUUUUAUACUAUACACCUAUUUGUAAGUAGAUUUAAAAGCUGCAUUUAUUCAAAGAGGACAGAGUCUAGUUAUUAGCUAGAAAAUGUUGAAUUUCUAUUUUAACUUAAAAAAUAUUUUUAAAAUUGUUGAAUUUUAUGUGAAGUCACGUAAGUGCAUAGAACUGUAUUGUUCUCUGGGCUGUUUUUCUUAAUUAGCUUUAUUGAACUUAAUAAGUACACUCCUGGAGUAUUAUGUUUUUCUUCCUCGAGGUGGCUGAAGCUGCUAGAGUCUCGCAGAAAGGAGCCUCAUGCAGGGAAAAAAGGAUCUAAGCAGGUGAAGGAAAGUACCAACCACUGGCACUGGAGAAUCCCAGUGCGAAGGCUGGGCUUCCUUCUGGGAACAAGAGAGUGCUGUCUGUAAUACCGCUGUAGUUUGUAGUUAAGUUGUGAAAUAAUAUUUAAACAUAGCUAUUACAUACGUCAGAGAGAUCAUACUUAUAUCCUGAUAUUAUUGGACUGAUGUACUUCUAUUUCAUAAUCUAGUGGCUUUCCAAUCUAUUUAGAUGCACAGGAGAGUGGUCCGUGUGUAACCACACCACACUGAGUUAGGGCUGAACUACUGUAAUCCAGAGGUGGCCAAGCUUAGAUUUGCUCUGUUUAUGUCCACCCCAAUGAGUGCUGAAGACUUUUACUACUCUGUUCACAGUGGUCUGGUCAAGCUUGGUAAACUGUUAACAUUUUUCCACCUUCAUUGAGCUGGCUUUCAAUUCUCUUUUAUGGACAAAUGUUUUCUCUCUCUUCUUAAAGUGCCUUUUUCCAAGCUGCAGCAUGACACCAUGCAAAUAAGAGAAAGGUGUUCUCCUUGUUAGAUGAGACUACCAGAACUAAAGUGAGCAAAGUUUUUUGGCUCGGGACUGAGUUGCUGUUAGUACUGUAAGGUGCUGUCCUCCAACCAGAGAUGUUCCAACCAAUUCUUUUAUGGCAUCAUAUACUGUGACAGUGGAAAAUUCUUAGUUUGGUUACUAGGAAAUAACAAACAACACCUAAAGCCUGUCCCACAGGCACAUGGUCCAUGUCCUGGUCAGAAGAAGAACAUACUGCAAUUCUGUUUUCUGCAGAACUGACAGCUGCUCUAGGCACAGUUCCACAGGACUGCAGUGAGCAUUCUGCUGUUUCUCUUGGAUUUCCUGUCCCUAUGGGAACGCCCUCAAAGCAUUUUACAGCCCAGGUACUCUCUGAGAGAGCCUCCUUCUACGCUGUGUCACAGAACAGGCUGCAAUAACGCACAUUCAUCGUCCACGCUGCAGUGCACACAGAAGGAGCUCUCCUGCCAGGAGGGGCUGUACUGCAGCGUGGCGCUCGCCCAGCAAUCAGUGCACUGAAGUUGACCUUUCAGUAAGCAUUACACGAUGAGAGGCUGCAAGACAUGGCAUUCAACUCACUUCUGUAUGGCUUCUCGUUGGCCUCAUCCCCUGUUCACCUCUAUGCAAGCAGCUUCUGUUGACUGGAUGAAAAGGGAACGUGUUGCACAGCUCCUGGGUACCACUCCACUGCCUUCCCACAAGAGCUGCAUCCACAGACUCACCUUCAGAUUGCAGAGUGUUGCUCGCGGAUGUGGAUGUGAAGGCUACUUGAUCUGUACUUCAAGCAUACAUAUUUCAAUAAUAUGAUAUUAAAUGACCACUGCUGGUUGAAGUGUACAACAUAUCCCAGCUUCUGCUUAUCUCUAAUUAUCCUGAUUUUAUUGGCAAUAUUUUGAAUGGGCAGAUGGCUGUUAGCUGCAAAGCAUUUGCUAGUGAGAAAUGCAAAAGCAGUACUCCAGGGAGGGAUUUGCUGAGGCAGCAUGCUUGCAUUUAAACUCAUAAACUAGGAGGAGAGGGCACAUCUUUCAGAUGAAAGAAAUGGUCUGUCUUUUGUUACAUAAACAAUACUGCAUACAAUGAGGCUACUUUCAUCAUCUAGUAUUAUAAGGUUAGUGAUGACAAGUCUUCCGGAAGCAGACUUCCCAGUGUGAUUUAAUGCAGCCUUUCCUUUGGGGGAUGCUGCCCUAUGGGCUAAACCUUUCUGCAACCAUCUGUGAGUGGGCAUCACUGCGUUGGAGGACAGCUUUGUGGGCUUGAACCUCAACCUCCGUAACGAUGCAGAACUGUAGCUGUGGUGUCACAACAUCCAAAGAAAAACUACAAACCAAAGGAUUUGUCUGCUGUGAUACAAUUCAAAUUGUCCACGUUCAUCUGUCAGAUGGGCACUGGUGCAGUUAGUUCUCCACAACACAACACUCCCUUCAGCACAUUGUGCUUCUUGUUAUGCUUUCAUCUGAGCAGCAUUUAUUUUUGGCAUUGCUGCUGGCUGUUCUGAUUAACAUCACUCUAUGAAACCCACUGUAUGUGGCUUUGGUAAGAUGUCAGUCUCCUGAGUAGGAUCCUGUAAGAACUGACUGGCACUGUGAAGUACCCUCAGAUCUUUACAUGGAGAGUAUUUAUAAACAGAUUAAAUGAUGUAGGCGUUUGUAUGGCAUGCAAGAAUUCAGCAUCCUCUUCCAUAGCCACACUUACUCUUACUUAGGCUGUUUCUUCUCAUGCUAUGAGAACACUUCCUCAUCCAGGUGUUUUUUUUUUUUUUUUUUUCCCCACAUGUAGGCAUAAAAUGAGAGAAUACCUGAGCAGUUUACAGAUACUAAACAUUUAGCAGACAGGUGACAUUAAAAACUCUUUGUCACCAAACAAAAAGCAGCCUGACUAACACUGUUGUACUGAGCUGGCUGAUCAGCAUUUAAGUGAAAUCAGUUCCUGAAGUAGAACUGAUGACUUCAUCUCAUCACCUCAUUCCUUUGACUGCUAAGUGUAAUACCAGACCCUCAGAAAUACUGUAUAUAAAAGAUAAUCCAUACCUUAAAUUUUAUCAAAGACAACAACAAAAAACUGGAAAACAACUGAGAUGUCCUUAUCAGAACUUGCCAUCCACUUAUAGUCCAAGAAAAGGUCACUUUUUGAAAAGGUUUAAAUAUAUUUUUUCCUCCACCUACUUGCCAGAAAACCUGCUCAAGAAAACUGAGGUAGUUGUGACAUUUGAGCUUCUAGUUAGUCUCAUUUCUCUCCUGAGGAAGGAAAUAUACCCAGGCAGCCAGCACAGAGAAAACCAACUAAGUAUUUGACUUUACUCUGGAAACUUUCCAUGUAAAAAAUAGGUCAGGCAUUAAUUACAAAUGUAAUCUCAUCACAGGUAAAAAUGUCUUCGCACCAGAUUCAUGCGUGUAACAUACUUUUACCCAUACUGUAUUAACUUGCUCUGAAUGCCUGUUAUAUUUACCCUUAAUAAAAAAGCACUUGGGACACAGAUAAUGUGCUACAGAACCUAACCUCUCUCUUCACUACUUAGCCUAACAGUUACGCUUACACAUAACUUUCAGAAAUAAAAAACACAGUCCAAAUACAAAACAUUAUAUUUUCUGACCUUAACUAAAAUUAGACUCACCACUUAGUAUAAAUAAACUACAGGGUACAUCUUCAGCUAGCCCACAGUACCUCAUUAGUUUUGAAUGAUACUUCAUCUUUUUUCUUUUAAUGUUAUUUAGUGAUGAUCACUUAAUGGGAAGAAUACUUUUUACAUAUUCAAGUGCAAGAACAGUCAUUAUUGCAUACUUGUUGUUUUUAACAUUUAGAAUGUCUUAAAUACUUAGUAAUCUAACAGCAACUUGGAGAACCAUGCAUCUUGGUAAGCUGGUUGGGCAAAAAUGCUCUGCAUCAUUCCCUCAGAACAGAUUUUGUACCAGCAGUGCCGCUGAGAGCAGCUUUCUGUGG